UACGGGGGGGGGCAAGCGUUGUUCGGAAUUACUGGGCGUAAAGGGCUCGUAGGCGGCCAACUAAGUCAGACGUGAAAUCCCUCGGCUUAACCGGGGAACUGCGUCUGAUACUGGAUGGCUUGAGUUUGGGAGAGGGAUGCGGAAUUCCAGGUGUAGCGGUGAAAUGCGUAGAUAUCUGGAGGAACACCGGUGGCGAAGGCGG
rnacentral:rRNA from 1 species